rnacentral:rRNA from 1 species
UACGAAGGACCCGAGCGUUAUCCGGAUUUAUUGGGUUUAAAGGGUGCGUAGGCGGACUUAUAAGUCAGUGGUGAAAUCUCCCAGCUUAACUGGGAAACUGCCAUUGAAACUAUUUGUCUUGAGUACAUUUGAGGCGGGCGGAAUGUGUCAUGUAGAGGUGAAAUUCUUAGAUAUGACACAGAACACCAAUUGCGAAGGCAGCUCGCUAAACUGUAACUGACGCUGAGGCACGAAAGCGUGGGGAUCAAACAGGA